rnacentral:rRNA from 1 species
UACAGAGGUCCCGAGCGUUGUUCGGAUUCAUUGGGCGUAAAGGGUGCGUAGGCGGCGGAGCAAGUCUGAUGUGAAAUCCCGGGGCUCAACCCCGGAACUGCAUUGGAUACUGCUUUGCUAGAGUACUGGAGAGGGAACUGGAAUUUACGGUGUAGCAGUGAAAUGCGUAGAGAUCGAUAAGGAAGGCCAGUGGCGAAGGCGAGUUCCUGGACAGUUACUGACGCUGAGGCACGAAGGCCAGGGGAGCAAACGGG